GGGUGGCAAGAGUGGCAAGGGUGGCAAGGGUGGCAAAGGUGGCAAGGGUGGCAAGGGUGGCAAAGGUGGCAAGGGUGGCAAAGGUGGCAAAGGUGGCAAAGGUGGCAAGGGUGGCAAAGGUGGCUAGGGUGGAAAAGGUGGCAAGGGUGGCAAAGGUGGCAAUACCGUAAACCUCUGACUAUAAGCCUUGGGCUUAUAUUCUUUUGUAAGCGAUUUUUGAUGGG
rnacentral:lncRNA from 1 species